UACGAAGGGUGCAAGCGUUACUCGGAAUUACUGGGCGUAAAGCGUGCGUAGGUGGUUUGUUAAGUCUGAUGUGAAAGCCCUGGGCUCAACCUGGGAAUGGCAUUGGAUACUGGCAAGCUAGAGUGCGGCAGAGGGUAGUGGAAUUCCUGGUGUAGCAGUGAAAUGCGUAGAUAUCAGGAGGAACAUCCGUGGCGAAGGCGACUGCCUGGGCCAGCACUGACACUGAGGCACGAAAGCGUGGGGAGCAAACAGGAUUAGAUACCCUGGUAGUCCACGCCCUAAACGAUGCGAACUGGAUGUUGGAUUCAACUUGGAAUUCAGUAUCGAAGCUAACGCGUUAAGUUCGCCGCCUGGGGAGUACGGUCGCAAGACUGAA
rnacentral:rRNA from 1 species